ensembl:lncRNA
AACAUUUGUGAUCAAUUUAUGGUCCUUUUAUAUGCUUACAAAAACUGCACUGAAGUGAAAAUCUGUGGCUGGAUGAUGUUUUCUUUCUCCUACUGCGUUCUUACUGCCUUGUACAACAGCAUGAGGUUGCCACUAUUAUCUUUGAGUGUAGUGUCCAAAACUGGAUGCAGGAUUCCAGCUGAGACCUCCUAAUGCUGAAUAGACUUAAAUAAUCACCUUCUCUGUCUUGCUUCUGGCAGUCUAGCUAAUACUUCCCCAAGUGACAUUUUCUCUCUUGGCUUCUAUUCAGUUUGUGGUCAGCUAUAGCCAUCCAUUUUAUUUUAUUUUAUUUUUUUUCAGUGCACCAUUUUGCAAUGUUCUUGACUGAAUUAUCUCAUGGAUUUCAAAUAAUGUCUUCAAUUUCUUGAGAUGAUUUUUAAUUCCAAUCACAUCCUUCAUAGUUCUCAUAACCUUUCCUACUUGUCUAUCUUUCAGUGGUUGCAGUCGUUUUGUAGAGCAGACAGUGUAGGAAUAACAUUGGAGGUGGAAAGCAGGAUGACAUUUGCAGACCAAACCAAUUUUUGGCUUGGUAAUUUUAACAAAAAUAAAUUGAAAUCUAGCCAUGCCUAAUUAUGCUAUGUUUUAGGUACAUUUUGUUUCACUGUUGUUCAUUCUCUCCUCUUCCCCCGAGCUCCUGUAAAAAAAAAAGUUUUCUAAAAAGGUGGAAAAUGUUUUAUUUCCUUGAAGCAUUUUUUAGAGAAAACUUCAAAAACAUUGUCAAUAGUUUUUAUUUUGAAUCAAGACUAAUUUUCAGUCAAAAUAACUAAUACAUUUCUGCAACCAUUUAGAAACAUUCCACAUAAAUUUGAAAAUUUGAAGGAAGUUCCCUAGAUGUGUAGAUCUGAUCAGAAAUGAAAGGAAUUCUCAGUGAAAAACAUAAGUUUCUGCUUAAAUCACAACAAAAGUGCAUUUAUUUAUAU